rnacentral:rRNA from 1 species
UACGGAGGGUGCGAGCGUUUAUCCGGAAUCACUGGGUUUAAAGGGUGCGUAGGCGGUCUGAUAAGUCAGUUGUGAAAUUCCUCGGCUUAACCGAGUGGACUGCGAUUGAUACUGUCAGACUUGAAUCAGGUUGAGGUAGGCGGAAUGUGACAUGUAGCGGUGAAAUGCUUAGAUAUGUCAUAGAACACCGAUUGCGAAGGCAGCUUGCUGGGCUUAGAUUGACGCUGAGGCACGAAAGCGUGGGGGAGCAAACAGG